UGUUAAAAGUCAUCCCCUCCAUUAGUUGACAUAACGUUUUUAUAUAAGUUACUUCCAAUUAACAUAAUGAGUUAUGUAAUUUCAACUUAAUUUCAUGAGUUAUUGGCAUUUCAACUCAAGAAUGUGAGUCAGUUCAAUGAAACAUAAAUUUAAAUGUGUGAACUUAACUCGACAAUCUGAGUUUUAAAAUGGUAACCGGAUCUUAUAAAAACUGAUCACCACUGGCAAUAUUAAUGCGAGAUCCAAAUAGUGCCGGAAAUUCGCUCUUUAUCUGAUAAGGGACUAAAUAUGAUGUAAGAUUUAGUAAGACUUUAUAAAGUUCUCCAUCCCAGUUAGAAUUGCACAUUAAAUGAAGAAGAGGAACACCACCUGACCAGAUUAAGGACGUCGAAAGCAAAGUCGCGGAUGAAUACCAUUUUUUCCAAGACCUGGAUCAGUCCCACAGGCUGUUCAAAUUUGGCGGGGCAUUUUUUCUAAACGCGAAGCGAGCUGGAGCCACAGAAGUAAGGUAAGCUGCAUUUGUCGUUUUUUGGUAAUGCCAUCCAUUUUUAAAAUAUGUUAAGAGCUAAAAGUUCGUGUCUCUGUUACAUGUUUAAACACAGGACAUAAAACAACAGCUUGCUAACUGUCGAGGGCAGGAGUUAGUUAAUGCAGCUAGCUAAACGCAGUAUGCUACUCGGUUAAGCUUAUAGAACUUUUCUUAAGAGAAAAUACAAGCAGCUACCACGAUUUUUGUAUUGUACACUUCCUCAGAAGCACAUAUGUGGCGCUUGGUCAAAGUUUUGCAUCGACGUGCUGACUGCAGGAGAUCAACCACACAUCACAGAGCUCAUCUCCCGAUGGCCAGCUCUGUUCCAUGAGAGACAGGUAAUCGCACAACUGAAUUAGUUCCACCAGGAGAUUUAGUGAUUUAAGACUGAGUUAACUGUGUCCUAUUGAGACAAGUUUUAUAUUCAGUCACCUCAAAUUAGGGCUGAAUUUACAAGAAUCGUCACCAAAGACCUUCUGGAAUCUUUUCUUGACGGACUUGAUGGCCUGGUUCUGAGACUGCUGGAGGUCUACAAAGCAGCAGCCAAAUCUGGAAAGAAGCAGCCACUCAAAGACACUUUGGACUGCCUUGCAAAAGAUG